rnacentral:rRNA from 1 species
UACGGAGGGUGCAAGCGUUAUCCGGAUUCACUGGGUUUAAAGGGUGCGUAGGUGGGUUGGUAAGUCAGUGGUGAAAUCUCCGAGCUUAACUUGGAAACUGCCAUUGAUACUAUCGAUGCUUGAAUAUUGUGGAGGUCAGCGGAAUAUGUCAUGUAGCGGUGAAAUGCUUAGAUAUGACAUAGAACACCAAUUGGCGAAGGCAGCUGCU